CCUACGGGUGGCAGCAGUGAGGAAUAUUGGUCAAUGGACGAAAGUCUGAACCAGCCAAGUAGCGUGCAGGAUGACGGCCCUAUGGGUUGUAAACUGCUUUUAUACAGGAAUAAAACGAGGUACGUGUGCCUUUUUGCAUGUACCGUAUGAAUAAGGAUCGGCUAACUCCGUGCCAGCAGCCGCGGUAAUACGGAGGAUCCGAGCGUUAUCCGGAUUUAUUGGGUUUAAAGGGAGCGUAGAUGGGUUGUUAAGUCAGUUGUGAAAUGUUGCGGCUCAACCCUGGAAUUGCAACUGAUACUGGCAGUCUUGAGUACAGGUGAGGUAGGCGGAAUUCGUGGUGUAGCGGUGAAAUGCUUAGAUAUCACGAAGAACCCCGAUUGCGAAGGCAGCUUACUAAACUGUGACUGACGUUGAUGCUCGAAAGCGUGGGUAUCAAACAGGAUUAGAUACCCCUGUAGUC
rnacentral:rRNA from 1 species